UCCCUGGUGGCUCAGAUGGUAAAGAAUCUGCCUGCAAUGUAGGAGACCCGGGUUCGAUCCCUGGGUCGGGAA
rnacentral:tRNA from 1 species